rnacentral:hammerhead_ribozyme from 1 species
GCAUUGCUGACGAGUCCGAAACAGGACGAAACAGCUGUCCAGUGC